UGGGCGCAUGUGUGUGUGUACGAGCAGAGGAGAAGAAAGGAAAGGGGAGCCCUUCUCAAACCCUAAGCAACAAAUUGGAAGGAUUCUGGCCGAAAUCGAACCUGCAUGAACCUUAAUAGUGAUAAUCUAAGCAAGAUGUAACCAAGGAACGUGUCAAGGAGAGCUCAAGCACAGGAGGAUAACGGGUCAAGAUAAGGCAAGGUGACAAAUACACUUAUUGGAGUACUCAAGGUAAGUGAUCUCCGUAGUCACUUCUUAGUUGUUUAAGUAAUACAACGCUUUAUUUAAUUAGACAUAAUGUUUGAUGUCAAUUAUACGUUGAAGUCUUUCAUUGUGCAUAAUGGGAAUAAAGUUGAUUAAAACGCCCUUGAUGGGUAUGUUGGGCGAACAAUCUUAAAGUAGAUUAUAAGGAAGCUAUUCGAUUAGUGUAAUGGUUAUGGUCUAGUGUGAUAAUGUGGAGUAUGGUCUUGUAUGUCAUAAACCACUUAAUGCGUAAAUAACUAUAACGGGUCGAAAAUAAGCAUUUGAGCGAAAAUGGGUUAAGAGGAUGCAAGACAUCCGAGAAUUUAAUCUUUUAUGAUAGACGUCAACGAAAUUAUUAAGUUCAUAUGAGAUUGAGGUCAAAUAAUCGGAUUAUGAUGAUAUACGCUCGAACGGGUCAAAUAGUUAGAAAAUGAUUAUAAGUCGAAUGCAUGUAAGUUAAGAAUUUCCUUAAUCCGGAUGUAGGAUUUUAAGUUCAUAUGAAAGAAUGUGAAUUUACAAGCAUGUAGGAAGAAACGGGAGGUUAAACGGGUAAACGGUUUAAAAGUUAUGCGAGUUUUAGUGCGUUCGAACGACGAAAACAACACAGCAGAAAAAUGGCAAAAGCAGAGGCCGUCGCCGACGCCCCUAUGGGCCGUCGCCGACGCCUCGUGCUUUUUCAGUUUGCUCCGACGCCCUAUUUUCCUGUCUACGGGGUUUCUAAGCUACGGGGAAAAACUAAAAGCCGUCGCCGACGCCCUGUAGGGUUUCUAAGCUACGGGGAAAAACUAAAAGCCGUCGCCGACGGCCUCCCCAUGUUUAGGAUGCUGAAAUUUGUUAACUAAGUUGUUUAAUGUAUCGUAAGCUUUGGUAUAUCAACCUUGGUCUAUGGUAAGCCUUCUAAACCAAAUUUUGGGUGUUCUCUUGAUGUUUUUGGGUUCUAAACCCAAGAAUAAGCACCGUAUAAAUAAUGUACGAAUAUGAUAAGUGAAUACGAACAAGUUAAACAAGAAUUGGAUGUAAGUAAAAUAUGCGUAGGCACGAAUAUGUAAGUACGUAUGCAGGUAUGCUUGGUUUCAAUAUGUUUGGGUAAGGAUCUCACUAACAAUGUGCUUGAGAUUGGUAGGUAAUGCAGGAAUGAGAACGACGGAUUCUCGUGGAAUGGAAGCUGAACUCGGAACAAGAGAAUCCGAGAGAAUAGUCGGAUAAAUCAAAGUUUACGUUGUCGAAUGUUAUACUAUUUAAUUAUAUGUGAAUUUAGUUGUACGAUGAUGUCAAUGACUAAUGGUUAAGUUGUAUGUGAUGCUCACAUGUACUACUCGGACUUCUUCUACCUUUAAGGAUGAUAAGCGGGCGUGGAUCGAGUCGAAGAGCAAGGAUUGUACGGAAAGAACGGCUACAUAGUUUGAAAUACGUAAUGCUUUGAAGCGUUAAUUUAAUGUAAAUAUUGUAAACCUCUUCCAGUAAAUGCUUAACAUUUUCGUAUUUGAGCUUUUAUGUAAGUAAUGUGUCUAAUAAAGAAAGAAAUUUCAAGGCUCGUA